CACGUUUACUGAAUAGAUCUGCGUGAAUUCGUUCAAAUUCUGGAUUUAUAAAAAAAAACUUUUCACUUUUAGAUGUUGAAAUUUUUCGAGUUUCAUAAAACUUGAUGUUCAACAUAGUUAAAUAGCAACACUGUCAAACAGUCAUCGCAUCAUCAGCAAAAGCUGUUUUUGUGUGAUGUGUGCGGCCAUCUUUGCUUUGGGAACCCGCAGCAGCAGUCCGGAGUGGAAGGCUGGUCGAUCGUCGUCGUCGUUGUCGUCACGAGAAAACGAAAGAUUUUCCAGCUCAAACGGAACCGUUUUUCGUCGCGCGGAAGUGUGAAUCUAUGUGCAAUCGGAAGCGCGGCCACGGGCUGUGUGCUCAGCGAAAGCCAUAAUCAAAUUUCGGCGCUGUCUGCCUGCUUCCUGUCGGGUUGUAAAUCGAUGUUUCUCAAAGGAUGUACCUACCACGAACGCGACACCGAAUAGUCACCGAUCCGUAAUCUUUGAUCCACUGCAUGUCGCUUAGGUGAAAGAAGAGUGAAUGUGUGAUGGGGAACUGCGUGGAAUGACGCGAAAGUGAAUAAAUCAUAACAACACGCACAUAAGGAAAACCAGUCGUCACAAAAAAUAAAUCAUAAAGAACGAAGAAGCCA